rnacentral:rRNA from 1 species
UACGAGGGGGGCGAGCGUUGUUCGGAAUUAUUGGGCGUAAAGGGUGCGUAGGCGGUUUGGUAAGUCUUUUGUGAAAUCUCUGGGCUCAACUCAGAGUCUGCAGGAGAAACUGCCGGGCUGGAGUGUGGGAGAGGUGAGUGGAAUUUCCGGUGUAGGGGUGAAAUGCGUAGAUAUCGGAAGGAACACCUGUGGCGAAAGCGGCUCACUGGACCACAACUGACGCUGAGGAACGAAAGCUAGGGGAG